CUUUAAGAGAUUUAUUCAUCCCUCUGAAAGAUCCCACGCAGAGAGACCCUUACUCAAGUCUUGGGAAAUCGCGGACCCCAGACACAGAGAGACCA
rnacentral:pre_miRNA from 14 species